CAUAUGCUGGUGCAGUUGGCCCUGGGUUCCCCCUAAUGCAAGACAAUGCUAGACCUCAUGUGGCUGGAGUGUGUCAGCAGUUCCUGCAAGACGAAGGCAUUGAUGCUAUGGACUGGCCCGCCCGUUCCCCAGACCUGAAUCCAAUUGAGCACAUCUGGAACAUCAUGUCUCUCUCCAUCCACCAACGUCAUGUUGCACCACACACUGUCCAGGAGUUGGAAGAUGCUUUAGUCCAGGUCUGGGACGAGAUCCCUCAGGAGACCGUCCGCCACCUCGUCAGGAGAAUGCACUGGCAUUGGAGGUCAUACAGGCACGUGGAGGCCACACACACUACUGAGCCUCAUUUUGACUUAUUGUAAG
rnacentral:lncRNA from 1 species